rnacentral:rRNA from 1 species
UAUUGAGAGUACCCGAAGAAAAAGCAUCGGCUAACUCCGUGCCAGCAGCCGCGGUAAUACGGAGGAUGCGAGCGUUAUCCGGAUUUAUUGGGUGUAAAGGGCGUGCAGCCGGGAAUGCAAGUCAGAUGUGAAAUCCAUGGGCUUAACCCAUGAACUGCAUUUGAAACUGUAUUUCUUGAGUACUGGAGAGGCAAUCGGAAUUCCUAGUGUAGCGGUGAAAUGCGUAGAUAUUAGGAGGAACACCAGUGGCGAAGGCGGAUUGCUGGACAGCAACUGACGGUGAGGCGCGAAAGUGUGGGGAGCAAACAGGAUUAGAUACCCUGGUAGUCCACACUGUAAACGAUGAAUACUAGGUGUGCGGGGACUGACCCCCUGCGUGCCGCAGUUAACACAAUAAGUAUUCCACCUGGGGAGUACGAUCGCAAGGUUGAAACUCAAAGGAAUUGACGGGGGCCCGCACAAGCGGUGGAUUAUGUGGUUUAAUUCGAAGCAACGCGAAGAACCUUACCAGGGUUUGACAUCCUGCUAACGAAGUAGAGAUACAUUAGGUGCCCUUCGGGGAAAGCAGAGACAGGUGGUGCAUGGUUGUCGUCAGCUCGUGUCGUGAGAUGUUGGGUUAAGUCCCGCAACGAGCGCAACCCCUAUUGUUAGUUGCUACGCAAGAGCACUCUAGCGAGACUGCCGUUGACAAAACGGAGGAAGGUGGGGACGACGUCAAAUCAUCAUGCCCCUUAUAUCCUGGGCUACACACGUAAUACAAUGGCGGUCAACAGAGGGAUGCAAAGCCGCGAGGCAGAGCGAACCCCUAAAAGCCGUCCCAGUUCGGAUCGUGGGCUGCAACUCGCCCACGUGAAGUCGGAAUCGCUAGUAAUCGCGGAUCAGCAUGCCGCGGUGAAUACAAGCCCGGGCCUUGUACACACCGCCCGUCAAG